AAUGCAGUUAACUCAGCGAGUCCUGAGUUCCCCAGGAGGUGGGCAUUCCCAUCUUACCCACGUUGCAGAUGAAGACACUGAGGUAUUGGGAGAACCUGCCCAGGUGAUACAGGUAGUAUGUGGCGGUUGGGGGAUGUGAACUUGAGCUCCUGACCAACUCUGCUGCAUGGGCUGACAACUCCGGCUUCUCCGGGAGAGGGGCAGGGGCUGAGGUGGGGCUUUUUUGUUUUUGUUUUUGGCCUUUCUGAGUCCUCUGUGCUUUCUUCCCAGGUGCAUAGAUGACUUACUUUCAGAAAAUGUCAACAGGGUGCUCUGCAGAGGGGCAUGGGCUUUUAUGCCUUUAUUAUGCUUUUCUGUAUUAAAAGAAAAAUACAGUCAUGUGAUUUUAGAAACUCAACCCAUGGAAGAGAGAAUACUGGGUCUGUAGGAAAUCUGCAAAGUGGGAAAGAUACUUCUGGGCUUGGUGGUGGCACCUUGGAGCCUGCUUACGGAAAUCACCUCUCGUUCCCGUGAUGCUGAAAGCAGAAUGCUGGACAUGGAAGAACGGCGGUACUCGAGCUUCGUCUGCUGCCCCACACCCCACUGGCUGUUGCAAGAGUGACGUUGCCAU
rnacentral:lncRNA from 10 species